AGGGGGCCGGGCAGUCGCGGUUUCGUUAGAAAUCGAGGAAAGUCCGGGCUCCACGAAAUAAGGGUGGCGGGUAACGCCCGCCGGGGGUGACCCCAGGGAAAGUGCCACAGAGAGCAGACCGCCUUCUUUCGGGAAGGUAAGGGUGAAAGGGUGCGGUAAGAGCGCACCGGUGGGCCGGCAACGGUUCGCGUCACGGCAAACCCCACCCGGAGCAAGGCCAAAUAGGGAUCUCGCGCCCAAACUCCUCGGAGGGAAGGCAGGGGCAUUUCGCCCCGAGAGGUCCGGGUUGGCUGCAUGAGCGGUCCGGCAACGGGUCGCCCAGAUGAAUGACUGCCGCUGCGGCGUUGGUGCCUUUGCAUACCGGCUGCAGGACAGGACCCGGCUUACAGGCCCCCUG
rnacentral:RNase_P_RNA from 1 species